rnacentral:rRNA from 1 species
AUUGAACGCUGGCGGCAGGCCUAACACAUGCAAGUCGAGCGAGCGGCGGACGGGUGAGUAAUGUAUGGGGAUCUGCCCGAUAGAGGGGGAUAACUACUGGAAACGGUAGCUAAUACCGCAUACUAUUGGAGCGGCCGAUAUCGGAUUAGCUAGUUGGUGGGGUAAAGGCUCACCAAGGCAACGAUCCGUAGCUGGUUUGAGAGGACGACCAGGCAACAUGGGACUGGGACACGGCCCAGACUCCUUCGGGGGGGCACAGUGGGGAAUUUUGGAAAAUGGGGGAAACCCCGAUCCAGCCCUCCCGCGGGGAUGAAAAGGCCGUCGGGGUGGAAAGUACUUUUGGCAGGGAAGCGGUAUCCUCAGAAUAAGCCCCGGCUUACUUCGUGCCAGCAGCCGCGGUAAUAC